UACGAAGGGGGCUAGCGUUGUUCGGAAUUACUGGGCGUAAAGCGCGCGCAGGCGGUCUUCCAAGUCAGUGGUGAAAGCCCGGAGCUCAACUCCGGAACUGCCAUUGAAACUGUAAGACUUGAGGACGAGAGAGGUGAGUGGAAUUCCCAGUGUAGAGGUGAAAUUCGUAGAUAUUGGGAAGAACACCGGUGGCGAAGGCGGCUCACUGGCUCAUUACUGACGCUCAGGCGCGAUAGCGUGGGAUCAAACAGG
rnacentral:rRNA from 1 species